UGGGGAGUAGUGUAACGGUAGCACUGCAGACUCUGACUCUGCCCGUCAAGGUUCGAAUCCUUGCUCCCCAA
rnacentral:tRNA from 1 species